rnacentral:ncRNA from 2 species
CCUCACUCGACCCUGGAUCAUACCCUUAGGGAGGAAACAGGUGAGAACCCUGUGCUGACCCGCAACGGUAAUCGGAAAGAGGAUACUUUUUUCGUAAGCCCGAUCUUCCCCGUAAGAAUUUC